rnacentral:rRNA from 1 species
UACGUAGGGUGCGAGCGUUAAUCGGAAUUACUGGGCGUAAAGUGUGCGCAGGCGGCAGAGCAAGUCGAGUGUGAAAGCCCCGGGCUUAACUUGGGAAUUGCGCUCGAAACUACUUUGCUGGAGUGUGGCAGAGGAAGGUGGAAUUCCACGUGUAGCGGUGGAAUGCGCAGAUAUCAGGAGGAACACCGAUGGCGAAGGCAGGUCUCUGGGCCAUUACUGACACUGAGACGCGAAAGCGUGGGGAGCAAACAGG